rnacentral:lncRNA from 1 species
AUGCUGACCUCUGCGUGACAGUGAGCCAAGUGGACAGAGUGCUGGUUUACAGCCAGAGUCACCCGGGCUGACGAAGACGAGCAGACUGUGCUUAGGCAUUUCUGACUAAAUGUAACAGAAAGAACCUCCACACUUACCUCUGAAGGUUGAAUAGACCUGUAUUAUGCAGCUAACAUUUACCAAGGAGAAAGCAGAUGUUUACUUCAGAGUUUAUUUCCCUUUCCGCACAAGGAGGAUGAACUCUUAAAUUAUAGUAAAUUGUAGCUCAUAGAAAUAAAGCUAUGAGGAUAUAUUGAAUAAGUGAAAUUUAGCAGCAUAGCUUCGAGUGAACUUCCAAGUUCAAGUUUUAUAUCUAAGAUAUUAAAAUGCCUUGCAAAAUUAUUGUAGAAAUAGUAGAAAUUGCAUUCUUAGGAAAUGAGAGAUGCACCAGGCUUUAAUGUAGUCACGUGUUUCUCACAGAAAACAGUAAGUGAAAUUUAGGUUUGUGAAUGUGGCCUUGUUUAUGAUUCUAUAAGAAUUCUUAGAAAUCUAUUUUGAGUCUUAGUGAAAGUUAAUUUGCUAUGUCAAGACAAACAUGUUAUUUUGUAGCAAUAGCUACAGUUUUAUAAUUCUUUAAGUUUUUUUAGUGGACCCUUUUCUAGUCAAGACAGAAAUUAAGAUGAAAAUAGUAAAUGUAAAUGGCUAAGUGUAUUGAGAAGAUAUCAAAGGGCUUUGUUGCUUACUCCUGUGUAAUAUAUUAGACUGCCCAUAUGCAUGGUAUGUUCAAGAACAUUAUAUGUGAACUAUUUUAAAAAUAUACUGCCCUCAAAAUUAAGAUUCAAGCAUUUAUCUUACCAAUGUCAUAUGUAGCAAAAUUAUGAGAGAUUUUAAUUGAGAGAGAAUCAGAAUUUUAUCCAUUGCAUUUUUUGACAGAAGAAAUAUUUUUCAAAGUAGUGGAUAUGCCAGUGAUGGGAAGUAAGUACAGUUAUUGCUGAUUUGUUUAUAGUCUUCCCUUAAGUACAAGUUUAUGAAUGUUUGACCUCUCACGGUCAGUGCUUACAACCCACACUCCAGCAGGAGGUAAUGAGUUUCUAGUACAGCUUCCUUCUGCUACCACCCACUCCUGCCAUCUUCAUAGCUCUUCCUAUGCUGUGAAGAGCUUUAGGUUCUAGUCCUAUUUUGCUAACUGUAAUCUGUGAUAUUUAAUGCACUUUUGUUUGGUUUCAGAAAUGAUUUAAGUAGAGCUAGACCAUUUUAAGUCUUUCUUUUUUACAUAAUUUGUGAAAUUUAAGUAUGAAAUUUGAUGUGUUUAAAUGUAGAGAGGUUGUAUAAUCACCACAAUAAAAAUGACAAUUUUCAUCCCUCUC